rnacentral:rRNA from 1 species
CCCUUAGAUGUUCUGGGCCGCACGCGCGCUACACUGAUGCAUUCAACGAGUUUAUAACCUGGAUGGAGACGUCUCUGGGUAAUCUUUUAAACCUGCAUCGUGAUGGGGAUAGAUCUUUGAAAUUAUAGAUCUUCAACGAGGAAUUCCUAGUAAACGCGAGUCAUCAGCUCGCAUUGAUUACGUCCCUGCCCUUUGUACACACCGCCCGUCGCUCCUACCGAUUGAGUGGUCCGGUGAGGCUUUGGGAUCUGAGCGGAAAGAGCGUUUCGCUGUUUCUGCUCGGAAAACUCAGUCGAACCUUAUCAUUUAGAGGAAGGAGAAGUCGUAACA